GCACUUUAUGAAUUAUUCAGGAAGUGGUUGCAAAAUCACCCACAAGGAUAUAUAGUUCCACUGUUGGCUUCUCUCGAAAGGAAGAAUGUCUGGAGUCUCUGCACACUGACUUAUCCACAUAGAUUCUGUAAGCAGAGUCUAUCAGCUGACUUGCUCAUCUAUUUGGACCAUGAAGUGGAUGCAAUCACUUCUUGCUUGUUUUCUUUUUCAUCUGUCUCUUUCUCAGUCUCCAAAAGAGCAAUAUGUUCUGCUGGUCCCCAGUGUUCUACAAGAAAGCUCUUUGACUACAGCUUGUGCCCAGCUUUCCAAUCUGACUGAAUCUGUUGUUUUGACUGUCUUCCUCAACUACGGAGAGAUCGUAACCAAAAUAUUUGAAGAGAAUGUUACAGGAGAAAAUUUCUUCAAAUGCACCAGUUUUGAGGUAAAUAUUUUAUUCUGCUUACUGUUAAAAGGCAUAUUGCAGGUACAUGAAAGCCAACCACUUAACUGACUGUUAACAAA
rnacentral:lncRNA from 1 species